UUUUAGCUUGUGCACAGGCAUGAAGGGGACAGAGAGAGUUCCUGCUGAAAUGACUAAUUUUUUUUUUUAUUUUUCUUUUUUGCAGAGGGAAAAGUCCCCUUCGACCCAGUAUCAAAUUUGUUGAUUGCGUGGCUCUGUUCAUUUCAUCCCAGUAUUUUCUGUUUGAUGACAGACCGAACUGCCGUCAAGUGAACAAGUGUUAUCUCUCCUAUGCAUUACCAGUCUGGUAAUCAGCAGGGAACCUGGCAAGUGGAACUAAGAACAAGGACAAAGUAAUCUUCUCUCAGAGGCCCAGUGCCAAGAGACAGAGCUGCCAGCCUGCCAGCAGCAGCAGCGCUUCCACCAGGGAGUCAGAGCAGGAGCUCCUCUUUCCCACAGCUGUUUCCACUGUACUUCUAAGCUGAGAAGAAGUGAAGCACCAAGAAUCCACUUCAGAUGGGCACAGAAAAUCCCCCAGUGUGGAUUCCCCGUGACUGCAGCAAGCAAAAAACUACCUAACACACUAGGGUCAUGAAGGCUCCCGCAGAUGGCACAUAUACUUUGGAGUAUGGAGAAGGAGAAUAUCUUCCUCAAAAGAUCUGCUGAUUCCAAAGUCGGACGUGGCCUGACGGUAAAUGGGUCCAUAACAAUAAGUCUGACAAUCCCUGAGCAAUUGGAGUUGGCAUUUCCUGGCACGUACAACCAGGAUGGCCAGGCAGUUCUGAGUGGUGGCCAAGCAAAGCUACAAGCAAGUCAACAUGAUAGCCAAGGAUAGUUCUGAACUGCCAUUUUCCUGUCUUAUGUAUAAAGAGAAGUAGAAGCUGUGAAAUAUUUCAGCCCCAUGUACUACCCUGAUUUUAUCACGACUGUAUUUUCUUCUUGAUUCAAAUAAAAAUAGGUAGCUCCUCACAGUCCAAGAUGCUUACUAUUUUACAUACCAAGGCACCUGAACCCCCUGCUGACCAGGUCCAAACAAAAGACUACGUACUGCAGUGGAACUACUUUGAUUUUUAAAACUUUACUCCAAAAGGUCCCCAGGAACCAGGUUCUAAAGUAAAAUGCUUUUCACAUUAAAAGUU